AUUGAACGCUGGCGACAGGCCUAACACAUGCGAGUCGAGCGGAUGAAGGGAGCUUGCUCCUGGAUUCAGCGGCGGACGGGUGAGUAAUGCCUAGGAAUCUGCCUGGUAGUGGGGGAUAACGUCCGGAAACGGGCGCUAAUACCGCAUACGUCCUGAGGGAGAAAGUGGGGGAUCUUCGGACCUCACGCUAUCAGAUGAGCCUAGGUCGGAUUAGCUAGUUGGUGGGGUAAAGGCCUACCAAGGCGACGAUCCGUAACUGGUCUGAGAGGAUGAUCAGUCACACUGGAACUGAGACACGGUCCAGACUCCUACGGGAGGCAGCAGUGGGGAAUAUUGGACAAUGGGCGAAAGCCUGAUCCAGCCAUGCCGCGUGUGUGAAGAAGGUCUUCGGAUUGUAAAGCACUUUAAGUUGGGAGGAAGGGCAGUAAGUUAAUACCUUGCUGUUUUGACGUUACCAACAGAAUAAGCACCGGCUAACUUCGUG
rnacentral:rRNA from 1 species